rfam:Oryza sativa (indica cultivar-group) chromosome 1, whole genome shotgun sequence.
AAAAAAAACAAACCCUGGUUUCCGUGUCCAACUUUUGACCAUCCGUCUUAUUUAAAAAAAUUAUAAAAAAAUUAAAAAGACAAGUUACGCAUAAAAUAUUAAUCAUGUUUUAUCAUCUAACAACAAUAAAAAUUCAAAUUAUAAAAAAAUUUCAUAUAAGACGGACAGUCAAAGUUGGACACGGAAAUCUAGAGCUUAUCUUUUU